rnacentral:RNase_P_RNA from 1 species
GCGGGGAUGCGGGCAGCCGCGGGAGCCGUGUUCGGCUCCUGAGGAAAGUCCGAACUCCGCAGAGCAGCGCGCCGGCUAACUGCCGGGCGGUCAUCCCGCAAGGGAUGCCCGACGGAAAGUGCCACAGAGAACAGACCGCCAAUCCGCCCGUGUAGCUCUCUGCUCCACGGGGUCAUGGAGGCAAGGGUGAAACGGUGGGGUAAGAGCCCACCAGCACUCCGGGUAACCGGAGUGGCUCGGCAAACCCCGCGCGGAGCAAGACCAAAUAGGGAUGUGUGCGCCGAAUUCGGCGCGGCAGGUGGCUCGCCUGCAGGGCUUGUGCCCGCACAUCCGGGUAGGUCGCCGGAGAGCAUGGGAGACCAUGCUCCCAGAUACAUGGCUGCCUCCUCGGUGUGCCCGCCGAGAAGACAGAAUUCGGCUUACAGCAUCCCCGCCGCU